rnacentral:rRNA from 1 species
CAAGUGAAGAGUUUGAUCCUGGCUCAGAAUGAACGCUGGCGGCGUGGCUAAAACAUGCAAGUCGGACGCGAACGUUCUCUUCGGAGAACUAUUAGAGUGGCGAAAGGGCGAGGAAUACACGGGUAACGUACCCUUGGCAUAAGGAUAGCUGUGGGAAACUGCAGGUAAUACUUGAUGAGACCACAGUGUCGUAAGGCACAGUGAUCAAAGGACGGGGAUCUCUUCGGAGACCUGUCGGCCAGGGAGCGGCCCUUGUGCUAUCAGCUAGUUGGUGAGGUAAUGGCUCACCAAGGCGACGACGGCUACCGGGACUGAGAGGUCGAUCCGGCGCAUCGGGACUGAGACACUGCCCGGACUCCUACGGGAGGCUGCAGUAACGAAUAUUCCACAAUGGACGAAAGUCUGAUGGAGCGACGCCGCGUGCAGGAGGAAGCCCCUCGGGGUGUAAACUGCUGUCAGGGAUUACCAAGCAAGCAGGCCUAAUAUGUCUGUGCGUUGAGGAGUCCCACAGGAAGUCACGGCUAACUUCGUGCCAGCA